rnacentral:rRNA from 1 species
AUAUUGGACAAUGGGUGCAACCCUGAUCCAGCCAUGCCGCGUGUGUGAAGAAGGUNUUNNGAUUUNANAGCACUUUAAGUUGGNNNNNUGGGCUUUAGGCUAAUACCCUGAAGUUUUGACGUUACCAACAGAAUAUGCACCGGCUAACUCUGUGCCAUCAUCCGCUGUAAUACAGAGGGUGCAAGCGUUAAUCGGAAUUACUGGUCUUAAAGCGCGCGUAGGUGGUUCAGUAAGAUGGGUGUGAAAUCCCCGGGCUUAACCUGGGAACUGCUUUCAUAACUGCUGAGCUAGAGUACGGUAGAGGGUAGUGGAAUUUCCUGUGUAGCGGUGAAAUGCGUAGAUAUAGGAAGGAACACCAGUGGCGAAGGCGACUACCUGGACUGAUACUGACACUGAGGUGCGAAAGCGUGGGGAGCAAACA